AACUUGCUAACCGUCUCUUUUCCCAGCUGGCUCUGGACAAGUCAGAUUCCCACCCCUCUGACGCUCUGACCAGGAAAAAACCGGCCAAGGCGGAAUCUAAGUCCUUUGCUGUGGGAAUGUUCAAAGGCCAGCUCACCACAGAUCAGGUGUUCCCAUACCCGUCCGUGCUCAACGAAGAGCAGACACAGUUUCUUAAAGAGCUGGUGGAGCCUGUGUCCCGUUUCUUCGAGGUAAGGAAUGACUCGGGGCUUGGUCCCUGGUGAGGUGUUUGGAGAUGUUAAGCUCAAAAGGAGCCUGGAUGUGGGAUCCUGUGCCUUCCCCAGGAAGUGAACGAUCCCGCCAAGAAUGACGCUCUGGAGAUGGUGGAGGAGACCACUUGGCAGGGCCUCAAGGAGCUGGGGGCCUUUGGUCUGCAAGUGCCCAGUGAGCUGGGUGGUGUGGGCCUUUGCAACACCCAGUACGCCCGUUUGGUGGAGAUCGUGGGCAUGCAUGACCUUGGCGUGGGCAUUACCCUGGGGGCCCAUCAGAGCAUCGGUUUCAAAGGCAUCCU
rnacentral:lncRNA from 1 species